GGGGAUUUAGCACAGUGGUAGAGCGCUUGCCUAGCAAGCACAAGGCCCUGGGUUCGAUCCCCAGCUCCG
rnacentral:tRNA from 1 species